rnacentral:misc_RNA from 1 species
CAGGCUCAAAGAACAGUUUAGUUUAUCAAGUUUAGAAUAUAUAUUAACACAGCUGAAAAAUUGAAAAGCAAAGAAAAGUAAAACAAAUACAAUGGCGAAGGAGAACGAAGAAGAUAGAUUCUUCCAAGUUGAAAAUCUUCUGGUGGACGGUAUACCGUGUAUCCGCUUCGACUGGACCUUUAAAAAGCGUCCCUCUUCGUGUAUCUCUGAAACAGCUGAGACAGAAGAUCUGAAUCUAUGGUUUAAAGAUGAUCUCAACUAUCUGGUGCUUAAUGGUCAAGGUGUUUCAGAAAACAUAGACCCAACUUUAGUCACUGUUCUUACAGAGUCAGACCUGCUGGAGAUCUGGGGGGAAAGAAAACAAUCCAUUGUUCUCCGUUUUCCAAGUGAAUCCUUGUGUUCAAAUGUUGCUUUUUUCAUCAGAAACUUCAGUCAGUAUCGGUAUCAGCAGAGCAUCCAUUUCUUUUCCCGAGAGUUGAAUAAAAUCAAUAAAGAAACUAUAUCUACUGAUGAAGCCUCCCAAUAUGUUGGAUUACUGGGAAUAAGCACUAGUAAAUGGGAAGGACCGGAACUAAAUGUUUUGGAUUUUAUGAACUUUGUUGAAAAUAUGUUUUAUUCACAGGUGGAUGAAAAUGAAAUCUUGGUUGAUAUAUUUCAAAAGUAUAGUCGCCAGAUUCAGUCAAAGAAAGGAAUGACCGAAGGGGAUUUGCGCCGAUUUCUCGAGGAGCAUCAGAAGAUGGAGAAUGUGACAGUUGAUAUGUUAGAAAAUAUUCUGAUAAGAUUUCAUAAAAUCGAUUAUGAUCAUGAUACAUUCCCUUUUCUCAUCUACUCAGAGUUUGUAGAGUUCUUGUACUCCGGAGAGUUUAACUCUGUACUCAAGGAUGAGGAGAGAAGUGUUGAGAGUCAACAUGCGACUCUCAGUGAAUACUACAUCAGCUCUGCUUAUAUUCUGGACAAUCAAAACAGAAUAACAGUUGAGUCCUUCAAGUCUCUGCUGUUGCUCGGAGCUAAGUGUAUUGAUCUAGAGAUCUGGGAUAGUAAGGAGGGUCCUCAUGUUAGACUAGAGAAGAUGGUCAAACCUUUAGAUCUACUAGAAGUUCUGGAAUCCAUAAACAAAUAUGCUUUCAUCAUAUCAGAUAUGCCGCUCAUCAUCUCCUUGCGGAUUCAUUGCAAUCAGACGAAUCAGGGACGGUUAGCACAGAUGCUAACAUCAGUGUUCAAGCAGAAACUAUUAAAGGCUCCGGGAAAAGAGCGCAAACCCCAGACACGGUUGCCAUCUCUCUACUCCUUAAAAAACCGGAUAAUUUUACAAGGAGAGAAAAAUCUGAUCCUGUCCAGUGAACCGGACAUCAAGGCCAGAGCUCUUGAAAUGAAAAAUAACGGAUGGCGUGGAGUUACUGUCGAGAUGAACAAAACAGAACUCAGGAUAAAGGAGGAUUUAAACCCUUUAUCAAUUUUGUAUCCAUAUCCAUGGUUUGCAGGAGAAAUGGCUGUGUCCAGAAGAACAUCUUGAAUCUGGUCAAUUUGCAAUCCAUUCUUUCCACGGAGAUAUUUUCCUCAUACUUCUGGAUUCAAGACAGGACGAGCGUAAGGUUGUUUCUUUGAGAAUUAUCCAGAAUAACAAGAAAUUAUUUCUGGAGCCUGCUAUCAAGUUUGAUGAUGUGUUUG